AGAUCUUCGGAUCUAGUAGCGCACGGGUGCGUAACACGUGGGAAUCUGCCCUUUGGUUCGGAAUAACUCAGGGAAACUUGAGCUAAUACCGGAUGAUGACGUAAGUCCAAAGAUUUAUCGCCAAAGGAUGAGCCCGCGUAGGAUUAGCUAGUUGGUAGGGUAAAGGCCUACCAAGGCGACGAUCCUUAGCUGGUCUGAGAGGAUGAUCAGCCACACUGGGACUGAGACACGGCCCAGACUCCUACGGGAGGCAGCAGUGGGGAAUAUUGGACAAUGGGGGAAACCCUGAUCCAGCAAUGCCGCGUGAGCGAUGAAGGCCUUAGGGUUGUAAAGCUCUUUUACCCGGGAUGAUAAUGACAGUACCGGGAGAAUAAGCCCCGGCUAACUCCGUGCCAGCAGCCGCGGUAAUACGGAGGGGGCUAGCGUUGUUCGGAAUUACUGGGCGUAAAGCGCACGUAGGCGGCUAUUCAAGUCAGGGGUGAAAGCCCGGGGCUCAACCCCGGAAUUGCCCUUGAAACUAGAUAGCUAGAAUCAUGGAGAGGUGAGUGGAAUUCCGAGUGUAGAGGUGAAAUUCGUAGAUAUUCGGAAGAACACCAGUGGCGAAGGCGGCUCACUGGACAUGUAUUGACGCUGAGGUGCGAAAGCGUGGGGAGCAAACAGG
rnacentral:rRNA from 1 species